GGAAUUGCAAUUUUUGUUCUAAGCGCACAAAUUGGAGCCGUUUUGGGUCCAUUUGAGCCAUUUUUUGGGUCAAAUUUGUGCCUUUUUGGGUCUGUUUUGGGGCCUUUAAAUUUUGGGGUAAAAUCGCUCCUUUUUGGGGUCAUUUUUGUGUUAAAAUCGCAUUUUUUUUUGUUAAAAUUUCCCAUUUUUGUAUCCGGAAAUCCCAUUUUGGGGUUAAAAAGUGCCAUUUCAGGGCUUAAAAGUCCCAUUUUUGGGUUAAAAAGCCCCAUUUUUGGGGCUGAAAGUCCCAUUUUUUAGUCUCCAAAUCCCAUUUUUGGGGUCAAAAAAAUCCCAUUUUGGGCUCAAAAAGUGCCAUUUUUUUUCCUACAAACCCCAUUUUUGGGUCCCGGAAUCCCAUUUUGGUUCUAAAAGGGCCAUUUUUGGGGCCACAAAUCCUCUUUUUGGGUCCAGAAGUCCCCUUUUUGGGUCCUGGAUUCCCAUUUUGGGGUCCAAAAGGGCCAUUUUUGGGUCCAAAAAUCCCAUUUUUGGGGCCAAAAGUCCCAUUUUUGGGACCAGAAAUCCCCUUUUUGGGUCCAGAAGUCUUAUUUUUGGGUCCAAAAGGGCCAUUUUUGGGUCUAAAAAGUUCCAUUUUGGGGUCCAAAAGGGCCAUUUUUGGGUCCCGAAGUCCCAUUUUUGGGUCUCAAAUCCCCUUUUUGGGGCCAGAAAUCCCCUUUUGUGACCAGAAGUCCCAUUUUUGGGGCCAGAAAUCCCCUUUUUUGGGUCCAGAAGUCUUAUUUUUGGGUCCAAAAGGGCCAUUUUUGGGUCUAAAAGUUCCAUUUUGGGGUCCAAAAGGGCCAUUUUUGGGCCCCAUAGUCCCUUUUUUGGCUCUCGGAGUCCCAUUUUUGGGGCCAGAAAUCCCCUUUUUGGCUCCCG
ensembl:lncRNA